UACUUUUGAAGGUUACUUGGUGAUAAGGAAUGAGGUAGUGUUGUAGUUUCAAAGAGUGUGUGGAAAGAAAAAUCAAUAGAAAAAGGAAGAGCAAAAAAGAAGUUCUUAUCACCAUAGAUCGUCUUCAGGGCAAAUUAAGGACAAAUCAGAGUAGUGAUUGGUGUUUCACCAAUUGUAUUGGUUCUAUUCUUUUUCCUUUAACUUUGAUUAUGAUUUUAAUACGCUUUUGUCUACUUUUUACAAUCGACAGACACAUUCACUUUUCAAGAGACAAUUUUUCAGAUGUAAGAUUCUUUGGUAUUUAUUAUAGGGUUUGCUAAAAAUUUUGUAGGUGUUGCCUAGAAUAAGGUGGCACGGGAAAGAAACAAUCAAAGUGAGUACUUUAUUGAUUAUCAUGAUUUUUUUCUUGUUAUUAUUAUAAUUCUUAUAUAAUUAAGUUGGUUUCUUGUGUAGGUACUUAUAAUUUUAAAUUGACUUCUUUUCUGAUAAUCUUAUUUCUUAAAUAAAAUAAAAAUAAGUCAAUUUAUAGGGUUUUAAUUGAUUAUUGAGAUGAUCAAACACACAUAUAUAAUUAAUAUAUUUUUCGUGAAGAGGUAAAAUGAUUAUUGAUUUUGGCUACAAAAACACAUUUUUUCAUUGUAUAAUAUUUUUUAUUGAUAUAUUUCAUAUGCAAAGUUGUAUCUCUUUCACCUUCUACUUUUGUCAACCUUUGCAAAUCUGAAACAAAUGAAAGAAAUGAUCUCUUUUUAUAUUAUCAUAAGAUCUGAACCUAGAGAGGUCAUAUGUGACCUUUGUUCAAUUUAGACUCAUUUUCAUCCCUAUUUUUAUUCUUAUUGGAUUAUUUCAAAUAGUAAGACUUUUGUUAAGUUACUCAACUAUAUAUAUAUAUGUAUAUAUAUAUGUAUGUAUAUAUAUAUAUAUAUGUAAUAAUUAAUAUUUUGUAAACAUUGAAUAAUUUUUUUUUUAAUUCCAACAUAUGUUAUAUGUAUACUGGUGAAUUAUACCUCCUCAACCAUUGUGGCAACUUCAUGUUUUCGUUAUCAUCCUCAUCACAGGAAUCCUCAAUAUCAUAUUCCGCAUCGUCAUCUUCAGAGUAAGAAUGAUUGAUCAUUACAACUGACUUCGUUAAUUGGUUAUUUUUCCCAUUUCUCUUACUCUUUUGAUUACUCCCCGCCAAUAAUUUUAACAACUCACAACCGAAAAAAAUUACGGUGAGAUAAUUGAUUUUUUAGACUCCUUGACAGAGUAUGGUUUGAUGAGUAAGAGAAAGCGGAAAAAUAACUAAGUGAUUUAUCAAGUUGUGAUUGAGAAUCAUUACUACCCUGAAGAUGACCAUGUGAACUAUGACAUCGAGGAUUCUUGAGAUGAGAAUGAUUACGACAAUAUCAAGUGCAGAAAAAGUUAAGGAAUCAUGUGUACACCAAUAAUGCAUAUAAGAUGCAAUGUGUUUAAUUUUGUUCCCAUUUGAAAAUACAAGUAUAACAUUGUUUUAGAUAUAUUGGAAAAUGUCAUGACUAUGAAUUAAGUUAAAAAAAAUACAAAAGGUUAUACAUAUAUGUAAAUCUGUGGGUCGUGCAAGUUAGGAAAUUAUACUUAUUGAAGUAGAUUAUUUUGAAAAUCCUUUCGAUUGGGAAGGGGAAAUUCUACUAAGUGCAUUUGGAAGCUUGUAAAGAGACAUACAAAUUGUUAUAUCUUUCAUUGGAAAGACAUUCAUAAAGAAUAUAUUAUUGACAUGGUAAACCCGAUUCAUUACUAAAUAAUUUCUAAAUAUUUUUCUUGUAAAAUUUCAUGUAUAUUGUUAAUGACACUCACCAUAGAUAAAUUUUAUUUUGUUUUUUAACUAAUAGAACAAAACAAAGAAAAACAAAACAUGUUAUAAUACAAAAAAAAUUGAGUAUGAAAUGAAGGCAAUGUAAACAUGAAUUGAAAUAAAAAGAAUAUAAAUUGCUAACAGCAAGUAGAACACAACCACUGAUAUNNNNNNNNNNNNNNNNNNNNNNNNNNNNNNNNNNNNNNNNNNNNNNNNNNNNNNNNNNNNNNNNNNNNNNNNNNNNNNNNNNNNNNNNNNNNNNNNNNNNNNNNNNNNNNNNNNNNNNNNNNNNNNNNNNNNNNNNNNNNNNNNNNNNNNNNNNNNNNNNNNNNNNNNNNNNNNNNNNNNNNNNNNNNNNNNNNNNNNNNNNNNNNNNGAUUGGGAAGGGGAAAUUCUACUAAGUGCAUUUGGAAGCUUGGUAAAGAGACAUACAAAUUGUUAUAUCUUUCAUUGGAAAGACAUUCAUAAAGAAUAUAUUAUUGACAUGGUAAACCCGAUUCAUUACUAAAUAAUUUCUAAAUAUUUUUCUUGUAAAAUUUCAUGUAUAUUGUUAAUGACACUCACCAUAGAUAAAUUUUAUUUUGUUUUUUAACUAAUUGAACAAAACAAAGAAAAACAAAACAUGUUAUAAUACAAAAAAAAUUGACUAUGAAAUGAAGGCAAUGUAAACAUGAAUUGAAAUAAAAAGAAUAUAAAUUGCUAACAGCAAGUAGAACACAACCACUGAUAUACCUAAUCUUGAGGUUGAUGCAUACCAAUAUCAUGAUUCAAUACAAAUUGUAUUUACUCUUUGGUUAACAAAAUUAUUUAUCGUAAGGUUUUACAAUAUAUUCACUAGUGAUAGAAAAUAAAAAUACUCAUAUUGUAAUGGAAUUAAGAAUCUUCCUAAACAUAUUAAUGAGAUUAUGGGUUUUAGUAUUUUCUCUUAUCUCAUUUGUUUUCGUAUUAUUUUUUUUCGAGGUUGGAACAAUUUUAUUUAAUCUAAUUUCUCAAACACAAAUUUAUAUUUUCAGUAAACUUGAAGAGAUGAUAAAUGCUUAUACGAUUAAUACAACUCUCUAGAUUGAAUUUGAUAUAAUUUUGUUAAAUUUAUAUCAAAAGAUGUCCACAAAUUUGUCUUAUGUGAGAAAAACAAAAUAAGAGAAAACAACCCACCAUAAAUUAGGUUAAGGGCUAAGCCCAUUACAAUUGAAUAUGUGUACAUAAAUCUGGAUUUAAAACCCUAAUUCACAUAAUUGUUGGAUUCGGUGUUGUUUAACGCAUUAACAAGGUUAUAAAAUAUAAAGAAAGGAAGGUCACUGAAAAUGUAAAGAUAAUCUUAUAUACUUUUGAAGGUUCUUUGGUGAUAAGGAACAAGAUAGGGUUGCACUUUUAAAGAGUGGUGCAAUAGUUAUUCACUUGAUAUUGGAGGCGAAUUUAUAGUCCACAAAAGAAGUGUGUGAGAAGAAAAACAAUAGGAAAAAGGAAAAUAAAAAAGAAGUUCUUAUCACCAUAGAUCGAUCGUCUUCAUAAUAGAUUAAGAACAAAUCGUAGUAGUGAUUGGUGUUUCACCAAUUUAUAUUGGUUCUAUUAUUUUUUCAUUAUGAUUUUUAAUAUGCUUAUAUAUAUAUAUAUGUCAUGAAUGAUUUAUAUUUUGUAGACUUCGAACAUAACUCUUUUGAUUUUACAACAUAUAUUAUAGGCAUACUAGUGAAUCAUACCUCCUCAACCAUUGUCACAACUUCAUGUUGUUGUAAUCAUUCUCAUCACAGGAAUCCUCAAUAUCAUAAUUCGCAUGAUAAUCUUCAUGGUAAGAAUUAUUAACCUUCACAACCUAGUUCAUCAUUUGUUUAUUUUAUUUAUCUUUGGUUCUUUUCUUUUUUUUAUCUUGCUCUUUGAAUCACUCUCUGACAAGAAUUUGAACACAUCACACAGGGUAUGAUUUGAUGAGUAAGAGAAAGAAAAUAAAUAAUUAAGUAAUUUACCAUAUUGUGAUCAUGAAUCAUUAUUACUCAGAAGAUAACUAUGUGAACUAUGACAUCGAGGAUUCUAGAGAUGAGAAUGAUUACGAAAAUAUCAAGUGUAGAAGUAGUUAAGGAAUCGUAAUGUGCACUAGUGAUGCCUAUAAGAUAAAAAUACGUUUAAUUUUAAAUCCAUUUGAAAAUAAAAGUAUAUAAUAUUAUUUUAGAAAUAUAGGUAAAUGUCAAGACUAUGAACUAGGUGAAAUAAAGAAAAAAAAAGUUAUACAUACACGUAAAUUGUGUGGGUCGUGCCACAUAGGAAAUUAUACUUAUUGAAGUAUGUUAUUUUGGAAAUCCUUAUAAUUGGGAAUGACAGAUUCUGCUAAGUGCAUUUGGGAGUUUGACAAAGAGACAUAAAAAUUGUCAUAGCUUUCAUAUUAUUUGGAAAGACAUUCAUAAAGACUAUAUUACUAACAUGGUGAAGUUGAUUCAUGUCUAGAAUUUUUUGUAGAUAUUUUUCUUGUAAAAUUUAUUUUGUUUUUCAAUUGGUUGAAUAAACUAUGCAUGUCCUAAGACAAAAUUUGAGUUUGGAAUGAAGGAAAUGUAAACAUGAAUUGAAAUAGAAAGGAUAUAAACUGCUAAGAUCAGGCAUUACACAACUGUUGAUAUACCUAAUUUUGGGGUUGAUGCAUAUCAAUAUCGUGAUUUACUACAUUAUUGGUGUUUUAGAAGGAUCAGGUACAUAUUGCAUUUACUCUUUUCUUAACAUAAUUAUAUAUCAUAAUAUUUUUCAAUUAUUGUUUUUUAUAUUUACUAGUCAUAAAAAAUACAAAGACUCACAUUGUAUAGGAAUUAAGUAUCUUCCUAAACAUAUUAAUGAGAUUAUGUGUCUCUUUUGUAAGUUGUUUUAGUAUUACUUUAUUCAAAUCUAAUUCUCAGGAACAAACUUAUAUUGACACUUAAACUUGAAAUGAAGAAAACAUUGUUACCAAAAUGAUUGUUGUUGUGAUUGUACGAUGUUGUUUCAAUUUGUAUGUAUUAAAAUAAAAGGACACACAUGGUUUCAUAAUCAUAACCUUUUCAAAAUGACUUAUUACCUUGUAAAAAUAAGUCAUAUUCUAGUAAUCUCUCCACUAAUUUUAUAUCUCGUGUGCAAGAGAACUUAUUAACUUCUUAUCCCUUAAAUGCAUNNNNNNNNNNNNNNNNNNNNNNNNNNNNNNNNNNNNNNNNNNNNNNNNNNNNNNNNNNNNNNNNNNNNNNNNNNNNNNNNNNNNNNNNNNNNNNNNNNNNCAUAUAUGUAAAUCUGUGGGUCGUGCAAGUUAGGAAAUUAUACUUAUUGAAGUAGAUUAUUUUGAAAAUCCUUUCGAUUGGGAAGGGGAAAUUCUACUCAGUGCAUUUGGAAGCUUGGUAAAGAGACAUACAAAUUGUUAUAUCUUUCAUUGGAAAGACAUUCAUAAAGAAUAUAUUAUUGACAUGGUAAACCCGAUUCAUUACUAAAUAAUUUCUAAAUAUUUUUCUUGUAAAAUUUCAUGUAUAUUGUUAAUGACACUCACCAUAGAUAAAUUUUAUUUUGUUUUUUAACUAAUUGAACAAAACAAAGAAAAACAAAACAUGUUAUAAUACAAAAAAAAUUGAGUAUGAAAUGAAGGCAAUGUAAACAUGAAUUGAAAUAAAAAGAAUAUAAAUUGCUAACAGCAAGUAGAACACAACCACUGAUAUACCUAAUCUUGAGGUUGAUGCAUACCAAUAUCAUGAUUCAAUACAAAUUGUAUUUACUCUUUGGUUAACAAAAUUAUUUAUCGUAAGGUUUUACAAUAUAUUCACUAAGUUAAAAAAAAUACAAAAGGUUAUACAUAUAUGUAAAUCUGUGGGUCGUGCAAGUUAGGAAAUUAUACUUAUUGAAGUAGAUUAUUUUGAAAAUCCUUUCGAUUGGGAAGGGGAAAUUCUACUAAGUGCAUUUGGAAGCUUGGUAAAGAGACAUACAAAUUGUUAUAUCUUUCAUUGGAAAGACAUUCAUAAAGAAUAUAUUAUUGACAUGGUAAACCCGAUUCAUUACUAAAUAAUUUCUAAAUAUUUUUCUUGUAAAAUUUCAUGUAUAUUGUUAAUGACACUCACCAUAGAUAAAUUUUAUUUUGUUUUUUAACUAAUUGAGCAAAACAAAGCAAAACAAAACAUGUUAUAAUACAAAAAAAAUUGAGUAUGAAAUGAAGGCAAUGUAAACAUGAAUUGAAAUAAAAAGAAUAUAAAUUGCUAACAGCAAGUAGAACACAACCACUGAUAUACCUAAUCUUGAGGUUGAUGCAUACCAAUAUCAUGAUUCAAUACAAAUUGUAUUUACUCUUUGGUUAACAAAAUUAUUUAUCGUAAGGUUUUACAAUAUAUUCACUAAGUUAAAAAAAAUACAAAAGGUUAUACAUAUAUGUAAAUCUGUGGGUCGUGCAAGUUAGGAAAUUAUACUUAUUGAUGUAGAUUAUUUUGAAAAUCCUUUCGAUUGGGAAGGGGAAAUUCUACUAAGUGCAUUUGGAAGCUUGGUAAAGAGACAUACAAAUUGUUAUAUCUUUCAUUGGAAAGACAUUCAUAAAGAAUAUAUUAUUGACAUGGUAAACCCGAU
rnacentral:lncRNA from 1 species